AGACCCGAAACCCGGUGAUCUAGCCAUGGGCAGGUUGAAGGUUGGGUAACACUAACUGGAGGACCGAACCGACUAAUGUUGAAAAAUUAGCGGAUGACCUGUGGCUGGGGGUGAAAGGCCAAUCAAACCGGGAGAUAGCUGGUUCUCCCCGAAAGCUAUUUAGGUAGCGCCUCGUGAAUUCAUCUCCGGGGGUAGAGCACUGUUUCGGCUAGGGGGCCAUCCCGGCUUACCAACCCGAUGCAAACUGCGAAUACCGGAGAAUGUUAUCACGGGAGACACACGGCGGGUGCUAACGUCCGUCGUGAAGAGGGAAACAACCCAGACCGCCAGCUAAGGUCCCAAAGUCAUGGUUAAGUGGGAAACGAUGUGGGAAGGCCCAGACAGCCAGGAUGUUGGCUUAGAAGCAGCCAUCAUUUAAAGAAAGCGUAAUAGCUCACUGGUCGAGUCGGCCUGCGCGGAAGAUGUAACGGGGCUAAACCAUGCACCGAAGCUGCGGCAGCGAACGUAUCACCCAAGACAACUUUACGGAGUUGACGAUUGACGGAGCGAAGCGACGUCAAAGCGUUCAUUAAAGUCGAGUUGGCUUAGGGAUACGUUCGUUGGGUAGGGGAGCGUUCUGUAAGCCUGUGAAGGUGUGUCGUGAGGCAUGCUGGAGGUAUCAGAAGUGCGA
rnacentral:rRNA from 1 species